ACCUGGUGACUCCACCAUCCGAGAGCCAACUGAGAUUGGAAAUACUGUGUUUGCUAUUGCAACUUUGAACAGAUAAUAAGAUGGCCUUUGUGUAUCCUGCAAGGGACGUGAAGAAAAGCAACCACCACGGUCUGGAAUUCAUGUCUCCAAACAGGAUACCAUUUUCCGUGAGUGGAACAACAACUGAUACUGCGGGUCCCGAUUUACAGUGUCCUAGCCUCUUGGAUUUUGGGUGGUUGGGCGCAAGAAUGUGGGCACCAAACACCGUGAGCAGUGGCUGGACUGCAAGGCUUUCCCUCGCCUUGAACAAGCAAACAACUUGAUAUGUUAUGAUCCGCGAAUAUAUUGCAUGGUGGUGUGUUACUUCUGACCGCAAGACUUCACCUGAGGGAGCCUAGAUUUGGGUUCUGGACAUCGGGACUCCUUAACUGUUACUACCAGACCCUCCGCGACGUUUAUCAAAAAGGCAUUUAUCUCCUUUGCCCAAUAAAAUCCGCGCUCGUCUGCAAGAAUGCCUCAAGUAUGCCUGGCCAUGGCUGUGGACAACUCCCGGGGUUUUGAUGGUACCAAUAGUGACCCAGCAGCCUCAGUAACCCGGGAAAUCUGGACCAGAUGGUAGACCAGAUGGUAGAUAGGAGGAGUAAUGAGCUUAUUCCGAUAACUUCAACUCGAUAUCUUUGUUCAUGAGCUAAUGAUUCAAAUUUGCGCAAGGGCGUGCGAAGCACCCGACAAGUAUUUAUAAACCGAAAACUCUAUCAAACAGUAAUGCUAAACCAAUGUCAUCACGCAAAAACGCAAAGAUAAUCAUCAUUUCUCAUCACUUUUAGGUGAGAGUGAUUCCUCCCUCACAACACCCAUUUUUACAGGUUGAAAUCCAGCCUCGUUCAUCUCUGCAUUUAGCAGGUCGUCCAACACCUUCUGCGCAUCCCAAUUUGGGUCAUGUAUAUUUUCCGCGGCUAGAUCGAUCCACGCCCUCCAUGCCUCGGAGUUGGGAGCUGCAUGGCUCACCCGCACCCAGUCGGUGGACUGUGAAACAUGAAUGGCCUUCCACAGUGCUUGCGUGAAGACGUAUGAACCGCCGAGUGCCGCUUGCAUAGUCCAAGUAGAGUUUCCCAUCAGGAUGACAGCGCUCAUAAGCAGGAAUGUGCCUACCCCAACUAGGGCGCGGAAUAUCUGGUCGCCGACGACAUAGCUACAUUCUUCUGUACCUGUGUAGAGCUCGCGGGCGACCUCUUCCGUACACCGUAUGAUGAUGAAUGCUCCCUGUCUCGUCCGGACAACCAGGUCACCGUCCGGCACAACCGUUUUGCGUUUCCGCACCGUCAAAUUUGCGUGCCACAUGGAGGAUAAUCCAAUGAUACUAGACGUUAAUGACACCACCACGAUCGCAACAACUGCGACGCCAUCCUCGAGGAUAACAGCCCAUACACACAGGCCAAUAGAUAGCAAGAAUGAUGCAACUGAUAGGAUGGAUAGGGGCGAAAAACGCCUGGCAUGAAUCACACCCUUUGGCGUUCUAAGAACACGAUUUCUAAGAUUUUUCUCGUCGCUGAGAGUUUCCUCGUAGCCUUCUCGAUGUUUGAUCCGGAUCUCUCUAAUGUUGAAGCUAGGAAGAUCGAUGCUGUAGAGGAGAUUUGCAAAAUGGUUAAGCUCCACGAGGAGAGUGCCGGAGUGGAUGCUCACAAUAUGUGCAGGAAUGGAGGGGAGGCGGGUUGGCCUUUCGUGUCUUAAAAGCGCCUGAGGAGCAGGCAGGAUACGAGGUAGCAGACAAAGAACUGAAGCCGUUAGCGGUUGGGAAUGUGCCGACAUGGCGCUUUCGCCAAUGACGGCGAGCAAGCUAACAAUAUCCAGACUCCAGUCAUUGCGUUUCUCGGGG
rnacentral:sRNA from 1 species